UUUGAAGCAGCGCCGGAUAACGAGGCGGACAACGACGGAAAUGAAUAAAUUUUUUUUGUGUGGAUUUUUGUUGUUCCCAUUGAUGUACCCUCUAAUUUUCUUUUUUCAAUAAAUAAACCUUGUUUAUUUCAUCUUUUUGCAUCCUUACUUACUAUUUUUUUGCUAAUGGCAAAAGGGGGAAGAAAACGGGAUAUUGGGUAUGCACCACCUCUUAAUUCAUUGAUUGCUUAUAAGCUAAAAUUGAGGGGGAACUCUUAAAUUGAGGGGGAACAAGAACAAAAUUGCAUAAUUGUU
rnacentral:lncRNA from 1 species